AACGAACGCUGGCGGCAUGCCUAACACAUGCAAGUCGAACGAGACCUUCGGGUCUAGUGGCGCACGGGUGCGUAACGCGUGGGAACCUGCCCUUAGGUUCGGAAUAACUCCCCGAAAGGGGUGCUAAUACCGGAUAAUGUCUUCGGACCAAAGAUUUAUCGCCUUUGGAUGGGCCCGCGUUGCAUUAGCUAGUUGUGAGGGUAAACGGCUACCAAGGCGACGAGACAUAGCUGGUCUGAGAGGAUGAUCAGCCACACUGGGACUGAGACACGGCCCAGAAUCCUACGCGAGGCAGCAGUGCGGAAUAUUGCACAAUGGGCGGAAGCCUGAUCCAGCUAUGAUGCGUGAGUGAUGAAGGCCUUAGGGUUGUAAAGCUCUUUUACCCGGGAUGAUAAUGACAGUACCGGGAGAAUAAGCUCCGGCUAACUCCGUG
rnacentral:rRNA from 1 species